CGGACCAGCUCUCAGAAGCUGCCCCAGGCCUCUGUGAUCUCACAGAUGAGGGAGGGGUGACGCUGCCAACUGCUGCCUGAGCGAAGGGGAUGGGAACAGUGAGGAUGGCUUCCAAGAGGACAGAAAAUACCAGAAUCUCUUUUUAAGUCAGUGUUUGGGACACACACCCUCAAUCCCAAGGAAAGAUCAGUUAUGAGUUCCAAUUCUGAUGCUGCUACUUUCCAGAAUUUAGAAGAGAAUUCUAGCAACACGGCCAGAUGCCUCAGUUUUCCCAGCUGCGAGAUAAGGUCAAAGCUAGUACCGGCAUUGUGCGCCUGUAGUCCAGCUACUUGAGACACUAAAGAAUUGCAAGUUCCACAUUAGACUGAACUACAGAAAGAGUUCAAGUCUGGGUAAGUUAGUGAGACCCUGUCUCAAAAAGUAAAAAGAUAGCCAAAAGAGGCAUUCAGUGGUGGAACACUUCCCUAUAGUACAUGAAACCCUAAAUCCAACCCCUACUUCUGAAAAGAACAAACAGCAACAAAAAGGCAGCUGAAGCAACAGGAUUGAAGUUGAAGCUGAGCUGAACUCUUGCCUCUCCCUGUUCUGGGUCCCACCCCUUACCUCAUCCCUUUGGCCUGGUGCUCAUCACACUCUGCUUGUUGCCUUGACAGCUGCAUUCCUGGCAUCCAAGAGGAACCUGGACUCAUUGAGAGGCAAACCACUCUAGUACUUCAGCUCUGGGUUUUCCUGUUGGACCCAAAUUCCUUUUCAAAUCUAGUUAGUCUUUUCAGACCAGUUCUCAACAUGUCUAGCUGACCCCACAUGCCAAAGAGUCCCGCAUGAUGUCACCAGGACCACGGUGGGGCACCUGGCACCUACAGUCAUUACUGCCCGGCCACAGUCAUUACUGUUACCAUGCUGCAGGAGGCCAGCACUAGGGAGAACUAGUGCUGUGCACAUAACCCAGAGGCAGAGCUCUGGGUCAGGUGUCUUCUGGGGUCUGGGUGCUUAUGUGUUCUCAGGGCUUCUGUUCUGACACUGGGACAGAUCUCCACGGCCUCUCUGAAGUAUGGCUCUCCACUCCCCUGAUCACCUUCUCAUGGAGCUCCAGGGCCAGUCAGGCUACCUCCCUACCACAGCAGCUAGAGUCUGGUCCUCUUCCAACCUGUGCUGAGGAAACAAGAUACUGCUGAUUGGAUACAAAAUAUUUUUUGCCCUCAAGGAGACAUUGAGUGAAGCUGAAAAGCUUGAAACGCUACUGUGGCAGAAGAGGGGCCCUGAAAUGAGACAUCACAUUAACCUAGGAAAAAAAGGCAGCUUGUAGAGAAAAACUGGCGGGAUACAAACUCAGACCCACAGCUCUGCAUCCCUAAGCAUCUUCUCCCAGCCAUCCUGAGCUUCUGUGUCUCGGACCUCCAUUGUCUAACUCGAAAGGCCUGACUCUCUCUCCAGCACGCCUUCUCCUGGAGGCCAAUGAGAUUUCCAGCUUGCCUAUACUGUUUUCCCCUUAAACUCUAAUAGAGCUGUCCCGAGCUUCCCUUAAGUCACAAUGGAAAGAACACUGAUUGCUGGUUGACCCUUAGAAGAAGCCAGCAUUCUGGACCUCCAGGCCUCACCUUAACCUAGGUCCUCAGGCCCUUGGGUCUCCAGAGGGACGGUUGUUUCCCACAUACAGAGAGCGACCUGGCUCCUCUGUUCUGUCCACAACCCUAUCCUGGCUCCCACCAAAUCUGUCUCCAAUUGCCACUUCCUCUUGGAACCUUCCAGAACUUCUUCCUCAGUAUCCUGAAGUGUCUUAAGCAUCUAACUUGACUUCCCAGGAAGAGGCGUAGCUUCAGGGCAAAGGGCACUGGGUACUUUCUUUUUUCUCUCAGGUCCCUUUGUCUCACUGUCAGGAACUCCAGUUUACACACUGGAAGCUCUGCUCUCACGUCAGCAUUUGCCAAACAUUCGGCCUGACCACUACACAGGCUACUCUGGUGCCUAUCCUCAGGAUACUGAGCCCUAACGAGGAGCUGAAGAUCAGGGCUGCAAAAUGACAACAUUUAAAGACUUUAGGUCAGGGGUCUGGAGAGAUGGCUCAGUGGUUAAGAGUACUGACUGCUCUUCCAGAAGACCCGGGUUCAAUUCCCAGCUCCCACACGGCAGCUCACAACUAUAUGA